rnacentral:misc_RNA from 1 species
CUCUACUACUAAUGUGAUCCCACACAAGCACGAAAAGCUGAGAAACCGCCGACCUCAGGGUUCAAGAGAACUCUUCUCUGCCUCUCUUUGUCUGUACAUAUUGGAAGAUAACACAAAAAAUGGCGAAAGGGGAUGAUGCAGUGAUGAGAAAGAAGAACAAAGCAAAAAGAAAGAAACUGAAUGGAGAAAACUCUAAUGUUUCAUCUCGGGUUGCUUCCAUUAUCGCCGCCAAGAAGCGCCGCCAGUCUGGUAAACGCCGAAUCUGUCAGGGAAUGUGUUUCAGCCUUCCUACUCCUGAUGAUCCAUUCAAUGAGCGGCAUGGUAAAAUGGAUUUUAAAGUAAAAGAUAAGAAAAAGAUUGUUCCAGCCCAAGUGAGUAGGGGAGUAUUUGCUAGGGGAAAGAAUGCUCAUCUGAGUCAAGACACCCUUUGUAGGAAUAAUAGAGAGAUAGAUCAUCUAGAACAGAAAAAUGAGAAGCUUUUGCAUUUGAGAAGUGAAAUAAAAAAUCCAAUCAUUUCAAAUGAUAAUUUAGGUCACAAAAACCCUGUUGAUAGUGAAACCACCAAGAUUCAACUGAAUCGGAAAGAUUGUAAUCAUCAACGACAGGAUUGCGGAAACUCAGAUUGCCCAUCGAAGUUUUUUGCGUUGUGCUUGAAUGCAAUAGAGAAAGCAUUGCAUCUUGGCGAUGCCUAUAAUAAUGAAGACAAACCUUUGUUCGUUAACCCUUGGGGACUUGAAUUUUUGAAAUGCUAUUCAACUGGGAAAGAUAUACUGGACACAAGCGGAUCUUCUUGUACAAUUGAGCAAAUUGCAUGGAUGGUUUCUGUUGCUGCUGAUACUAUUGCAAGAAAAGAGAAAGAAGGUCUAUGGUUUGCUAGUCCAUUUCUUCUAUUCCUUGUACCAUCCCAAGAAAAAGCUACCAAGGUACGUCUAGUUUGCAAACCGUUAAAAGAUCUUGGUAUACAUACUGUGAGUUUACAUCCGGGUGCCACUUUGGAUCAUCAGAUUCGUGGUCUGAAGAGUUGUGAACCUGAGUUUCUUGUGUCCACACCCGAGAGGCUUGUGGAGCUUCUUUCCUUGAAGGCCAUUGAUAUAUCUGGGGUCUCCUUCUUGAUGGACAUCAUACUUAAUUAUGUGAUCUUGGGUGGCACAUUUAAGCACAAUCUACGUUUGGCAUCCUCAGCAGCUGUCUUUCAAAUUUCAAUACACAUACUGUAUUUUGAAUUUAAUGAUGAUGAAAAUAUGCACUUUUACUAUGCUGCUUUUAUUCUACGACCAAAUUAUGUAAUCAAGUUUUAUUUAUUUAUUUUGUGCGUGGAUAGGUUGUUGAUGGAUUGGAUUGUCUUCAUCAAGAUGGUUACCUUGGUACUCUAAAAUCCAUCAGGCAAUGUAUUUUUGGGAAUCCUAACACUGUGGUUUUCAACAAUUUCUUUAGUUAUGCUUGUGUUCCGGCUAUGCAAAAUCUUCUCUCAGGACCAAUUCAGAGAUUGUGUCUCAGUGAUUCCAUUUGCAGUCAAAGUGCAUGCAUUGUCCAAACCAUAGAUGUUUGCUUUUCUGAAGAAGAAAAACUUUCGAAGGGCCUCCAAAUUCUGCAUGAUACUUUUGAAGAUUCACUGUGCUCCCAUACUUUAAAGGUUUUAUACAUAGUUGGAGGAGAUGGCAAGUCUGCUAAUUUAGUUAAGAUCCUUGAAAGCAAUGGUUAUUCUGUUUCAACUGGCUCCAAUUGUGAUAUUCCAGAUGUCAAUAGCAGCCCUGAUUCAGAUUGUGGAACAAAACCCACAAUCUCCAUGAUAAAUGCAGAGCAAAUCAGCACUGCUGAUUUAGGCAUCUAUGAGAUCGUAAUUUUAACCAAUAUUGUUCUCUCCAUUGACACUUAUGUACAAAUUCUCACAAGAAUGGCUCGGCACGCUACCCAUGGUGUUUUGCAUAGCUUUUUGACUGAAGAAGAUGCACUACUUGCUGGAUCAUUGGUUGAAAUUCUUGAACAGUGUGGGCAGGCUGUGCCCGAAGCUCUCAGAACAUUGCAUAUUAGAUCAUCCAUGUUAGAAUCAUGAAAUUUCUUCCUUUCUUUUUUUUUUC